CCCUGACAGCGGCAUUGGGCUGCUGACACAACCCAAGACAGGAGAUUGACAUG
rnacentral:ncRNA from 1 species